rnacentral:lncRNA from 1 species
CAUCUUUUCAUGUUGUUUCCUUAUCUCUGAUCUCAUAGGGACCUUUGUGAUUACAUGGAACCCACUGGGAUAAUCCAGAAUAAUCUCCCUAUUCAAGAUCCUUAAUUUAAUCAUACCUGCAAAAGUCCCUUUUGGCACAUAAAGUAACAUUUACAGGUUCCAAGAAUAAGUCAUAGGAUACCUUGGGGCAUUAUUCAGUCCUGCCACACCUGAGUUCGUCCUGCUUGCUCCUCCAGGGUAUGAAUUUGGAGACCUACUACUUUAGAUGCCAGCGUAAAGAGCCAGAGACUUAAAUCUUUGGCGAACACAUUGCCUGUUGAACACUAAAAAUUAAAGAUACACUGCCCUGGCUCACUCCUCACA